GAGAGUGAGAUAUCUCGAGAUUUUCUCGUUUGCGCAUCUUAGGCCGGUAGAUCGUCUAGAGUAAUA